rnacentral:rRNA from 1 species
AUGCGCGCGUGUGUGAAGAAGGCCUUCGGGUUGUAAAGCACUUUCAGCGGGGAGGAAGGCGGUGAGGUUAAUAACCUCAUCGAUUGACGUUGCCCGCAGAAGAAGCACCGGCUAACUCCCUGCCAGCAGCCGCGGUGAUACGGAGGGUGCAAGCGUUAAUCGGAAUUACUGGGCGUAAAGGGCAGGCAGGCGGUCUGUCAAGUCGGAUGUGAAAUCCCCGGGCUCAACCUGGGAACUGCAUUCGAAACUGGGAGGCUAAAAUCUUGUACAGGGGGGUAGAAUUCCUGGUGUAGGGGUGAAAUGCUUAGAGAUCUGGAGGAAUACCGGUGGCGAAGGCGGCCGCCUGGACUAGUACCGAGACUUAAGUGCAAAAUCGUGGGGAGCAAACGAGAUUAGAUACGCUGGUACUCCACGCUGUUUACCAUGUGCAUUUGGACGUUGUGCCCUUGAUGCGUGGCUUCCGGAACUAAGGCAUGAUCUCCACGUCCCGGCGAAUACGGCCGCAAGGUUAAAACUCAGAGGAGUUGACCGUCGCCCGCAUAAACUUUGGAGCAUGUGGUUUAAUUCCAUGCGACGCGGAUAUACUUACCUGGUCUUGAAAUCCACACAACUUUGGGGAGAUCGAUUGAUGCCCUCCGGAACUGUGAUGCACGUGCUGGGUGGCUGUCGUCGUUUGCUGUUGUGAAAUGUUCACGUUAAGUCCCGCUCUUUGUCGCAACCGGUGAUCCUUUUGUUGCCGGCGUUCCUCCCGAUGAACUCACAGGAUCACUGCCACUGAUGGACUGCAGCACCGUUCUGAUGAAGUCUAGUCAGCAUGUCCCUUACGACGUUCCCUAGUCGAGUGCUGCAAUGUCAUAUACCAAGAGAAGCGACCGUCAGCGUGGCGAUCUACACCUCAUAAAGUCAUGAUCAUAGUCUCGGAUCGUACUCUAGUAACUCGACUCGCUGAACUCGAGAUUCGCUAGUG